rnacentral:rRNA from 1 species
AGUGAACGCUGGCGGUAGGCCUAACACAUGCAAGUCGAACGGCAGCACAGUAAGAGCUUGCUCUUACGGGUGGCGAGUGGCGGACGGGUGAGGAAUACAUCGGAAUCUACUUUUUCGUGGGGGAUAACGUAGGGAAACUUACGCUAAUACCGCAUACGACCUACGGGUGAAAGCAGGGGAUCUUCGGACCUUGCGCGAUCGAAUGAGCCGAUGUCGGAUUAGCUAGUUGGCGGGGUAAAGGCUCACCAAGGCGACGAUCCGUAGCUGGUCUGAGAGGAUGAUCAGCCACACUGGAACUGAGACACGGUCCAGACUCCUACGGGAGGCAGCAGUGGGGAAUAUUGGACAAUGGGCGCAAGCCUGAUCCAGCCAUACCGCGUGGGUGAAGAAGGCCUUCGGGUUGUAAAGCCCUUUUGUUGGGAAAGAAAAGCAGCAGGUUAAUACCCCGCUGUUCUGACGGUACCCAAAGAAUAAGCACCGGCUAACUUCGUG